AUGGAAGAUUAUACCAAAAUAAAGAAAACUGGAGCGGGUACCUAUGGAGUUGUGUAUAAAGGUAAACACAAAACUACAGGUCAAGUGGUAGCCAUGAAGAAAAUCAGACUAGAAAGUGAAGAGGAAAGGGUUCCUAGCACUGCAAUUCGGGAAAUUUCUCUAUUAACAGAACUUCAUCAUCCAAAUAUAGUCAGUCUUCAAGAUGUGCUUAUGCAAGAUUCCAGGUUAUAUCUCAUUUUUUAAUUUCUUUCCAUGGACCUCCAGAAAUAUUUGGAUUCUAUCCCUCCUGGUCAGUUCAUGGAUUCUUCACUUGUUAAGAUAGUAACACUCUGGUACAGAUCCCCAGAAGUAUUGCUGGGGUCAGCUCAUUACUCGACUCCAGUUGACAUUUGGAGUAUAGGCACCAUAUUUGCACAAUUAGCAACUAAGAAACCACUUUUCCAUGGUGACUCAGAAAUUGAUCAACUCUUCAGGAUUUUCAGAACUUUGGGCACUCCCAAUAAUGAGGUGUGGCCAGAAGUAGAAUCUUUACAGGCCUAUAAGAAUACAUUUCUCAAGUGGAAACCAGGAAAUCUAGCAUCCCAUGUCAAAAACUUGGAUGAAAAUGGCUUAGACUUGCUCUCGAAAAUGUUAGUCUAUGAUCCUGCCAAACGAAUUUCUGGCAAAAUGGCAUUGAAUCAUCCAUAUUUUAAUGAUUUGAACAAUCAGAUUAAGAAGACUUAACUUUCUGACAAAAAGUUUCCACAUUCCAGAUAGCUGUAUUUUUUACUGUUAACUCUAUUUUUGUCUUGUAUAUUUUUCUUUUCUUUGUUGUAAAACUUAUGCUGUACCUCAUCUUCUAAUUUCAAAAAUAUAACUUAAAAAUGUAAAUAGUCUAUAUGAAUUUAAAUAUAAUCUGUAUAUGUGUGUAGGUCUCACUGUAACAACCGUUUGUUACUAUAAUAAAA